AUGAUGUAGGAAUCUGGACGCGUGCGGACCUGUGACCGGCCUGGCCGGACUGA
rnacentral:snoRNA from 1 species